rnacentral:rRNA from 1 species
ACAGCAGUCGCCGCGGGAAUACGUAGGUGGCAAGCGUUGUCCGGAAUUAUUGGGCGUAAAGGGCUCGCAGGCGGUUUCUUAAGUCUGAUGUGAAAGCCCCCGGCUCAACCGGGGAGGGUCAUUGGAAACUGGGAAACUUGAGUGCAGAAGAGGAGAGUGGGAUUCCACGUGUAGCGGUGAAAUGCGUAGAGAUGUGGAGGAACACCAGUGGCGAAGGCGACUCUCUGGUCUGUAACUGACGCUGAGGAGCGAAAGCGUGGGGAGCGAACAGGAUUAGAUACCCCUGUAGUCCCUGUCUCUUAUAA